ACAAACAGGACAUAUGCAUCCAGUACUCGAACCCUCCUGGAGAGUGACCCAGUGAGGCGUAGCGACGCUGCCGCUGCCGAAAUGCCAAGCGACCCCGGGUGAUCCAGGCACGGCAUACAGUGUGACCCCGGUGAGCCGCCCACGAUCCCGGCGACAUCGCCCGACCUCGCUACCCAGCGUCCCAAUCAGUGCCGCCACAUGUGACCUCGGCAAGGCACCCGGCGACCCCCUGCGUGUGAUGCCGCUCCGGCGACCGUCUCUGACCACGUGUCCAUUCUUCCAUCGACCACUUUAGCUGCUGUACAGGGGGAGGCCAAUUCCGUGGGCACUCUGUGAUCACUGCAGGUCAACCUAGCCUCGCACCCCGUUGCAGGUAAAUCGAGCCCUGCGGCCUCCAUGGACCCAUGCCCUGCGCCCCGGCAUCGACCAGAGCUCCCGAUGAGCCGCACGCGCCACCGUCAGUGUCCUCCCUCAACAACACCCGCACCAAAGGUGGGUGCUCUCCCUCCUCUAUUUCUCCCUAGAUCGGAGUGAUAGUUUUGAGUUAGCCUGGGUUGCAAGCUCUGAUUCGUGUGUGGUAGGCAAUUUAUUUAGAAGAAAGCUCUAUUCCGUCUCCAGCCACUUCCUUCGGGGCAGCAAGUCCGGUCUCGAGCAAUGCGGGCAAGCAUUUUUCAAGACACGACGGAUUCAUGAUCAUGUUUCCAAUCCGAAUCAGAGCAUAUGUGAUAUUUCAAUUUACUUUCAGGCAGCAGUAUCUAGCACUUCCCCUCCCACUUCUCUGGAGUAGUUACACGUUCCAUUUCCAACAGGUGAUCGUACCCUGUUCACAUGAUGUACAUUGAGCAAGUACUAUGACUCAACACAUUCUCUUCUAGGGCUAAUUCUGCACCUGUUAUGCUUGAGAGAAGAUAUUUAUUCUUCUUCUUUCACAUUUAGCAGAAACAAUUGCUGACACAAGUGCCAGAAUUUGGUGUGUAUCCAUCAUGAAUUCAAUUUGCUUAUUCAUGUUCGCCACUACAUCCAUGUCUAUUAAAUCAUGGAUGCUUAUGUCACUCAUAUUGACACCUAAUAUUUUAAUGCAGAGAUGAAGACUUGGAUCUGCUUUUGC